GCGGGCGUGGCGGAACGGCAGACGCUGCAGCCUUAGGAGCUGUUGCUCGAAAGAGCGUGGGGGUUCGAAUCCCUCCGCCCGCA
rnacentral:tRNA from 1 species